AGUUUUGAAAUUUAAAUUUGAAUAUAUAUAUUAAAUGUGGAAUAAAAUUAAUUUAUUUCAGACUUGGGUGAUACAUAUUUUAUCUACCAACUUUAAAUAACAACAGAAAGAAGACGAGUGCUGCUUGCACUAUUGGUUAAGAAGUAGCAGCACAUAUGUAUACAUUUAAUAUAUCGCGUAAUACGGAGAAUAUAGACAUCACUGAAACUUGAAAAUAAUAUAGACGAAAUUCUGCGAAACGCUUGGCAAGAAUGUUUUUGUUAAUCAAGAAAGACAGAGUGAGGCUCAAAGGCGAUCAGACAAUGCCCUUGUUCUAACCAUAAAUGAUGCCAGCCAGCGAUAUGGUUAUGUUUUCAACUAACGUGGCCGGCAAUUUUCAGGAAACCGAAACUUUUGGGUU
rnacentral:ncRNA from 1 species